CCGGGAGGCUGCAAAGCGGCGAGCAGCUGGGACAUCCAGCAGGCAGACUGGACUGACCCUCCGGCGACGCGGCCCACACAGGCCAGGCCUGUGACCCUGCCGUCCCUCCACUGCCCCUGCUGGAUCCAGAUAUCCAGAAUGGCCCGCUGGUGCUACUGCCUCCUCUACCUCCUGGCUGAAUCGCUCAGGGCAGAGGAGUGACCUGCCCAAGAUCACACCGAUCCCAAAGCCUGCAGCUUCCACCGCAGCCCCCGGAGCACACAGUAGGCAUUCAGUGAUUGCACAGGGGAGGGGACACCUGGCCAAGGCCCACCUGUGUUCUUCUCUCAGAUCCAAAGUCUCUCUGGCACCUCCUCCGACUUCCCAACUGAAUCAAGGAACCCUGGGGCCGCAGGUUGGUAUGAAGAUCCCCCCUCCUCCAAAGCCAAGGAAGAGAAGAAACGAGAUUAAGCUCAGACCCCACCAUGGGAGGCCCUGGAUGGAAAGCUCCACUCGUGUCCACCUCAUUCCUGUGGCACAGGUCUGGAAAGGCUCUGCCAAGGGAGUAGGUCUGACCAGAUCACAGAACAUAGCAAGGGGCCAAGUCCGUCCAGGGCCAAAAGGGUCCCAGCACUAUGUCCUUGGUUGGCCCUGCCCACUGCAGAGGUUGAAGGCCCACAAGAUGCGCUCCCAGGCCCUCUCCUAUGCCCUCCAGACCUGGUGGCCCCAGGCGAGGUGGUGGAGACCAUGGACAGGAUUUGUAAGUUCCCAGGUCAGCGGCUCAGCUGGUGGCAAGCCCAAGAGUCCUGCGAACAGCGCUUUGGCCACCUGGCCCUGGGGCCUCCCGAUGAAGUUCUUGCUCCACAGCUUCGAGACUCCGUCUGGGUGGGCCAAAGAGAAGCCUUUCUGCAGAGACCCCCUCGGAGGCGUGAGUGAGGGCCUGGUGUG